CUCAAAUAUUAUUCUAUUGAGUUAAAACUUAUACCAGCUGUUCAUGGAACUACUCUGAUUAUGUAGAAAAAGUUAUUUCACUCUUAACUCUUUAUUUCUCCAAGUUAGCACAGGUAUGCGUUUUUUGGCAAUUUGCAUUUCCAGCCUGCCAAAAUAUGCAUCCCCUCUUUAUUCUCCCCAAAUAUUAUCAUAUUGAUAUAAAACUCAUACCAGUAGUUUACAGAACUACUCUAAUCAUUUAGAAAGUUAUUUCACUCUUAACUCUUUAUUUCUCCAAGUUAGCACAGGUAUGCGUUUUUUGGCAAUUUGCAUUUCCAGCCUGCCAAAAUAUGCAUCCCCUCUUUAUUCUCCCCAAAUAUUAUAUUGAUAUAAAACUCAUACCAGUAGUUUACAGAACUACUCUAAUCAUGUAGGAAAACUUAUUUCACCCUUAACUCUUUAUUUCUCCAAGUUAGCACAGGGAUGCAUUUUUGGGCAAUAUGCAUUUCCAGCCUGCCAAAAUAUGCAUCCCCCUCUGUUCUCCUCAAAUAUUAUUCUAGUGAUUUAAAACUUAUACCAGCUGUUCAUGGAACUACUCUGAUUA